AGUGAACGCUGGCGGUAGGCCUAACACAUGCAAGUCGAACGGCAGCACAGUAAGAGCUUGCUCUUACGGGUGGCGAGUGGCGGACGGGUGAGGAAUACAUCGGAAUCUACUUUUUCGUGGGGGAUAACGUAGGGAAACUUACGCUAAUACCGCAUACGACCUACGGGUGAAAGCAGGGGAUCUUCGGACCUUGCGCGAUUGAAUGAGCCGAUGUCGGAUUAGCUAGUUGGCGGGGUAAAGGCCCACCAAGGCGACGAUCCGUGGCUGGUCUGAGAGGAUGAUCAGCCACACUGGAACUGAGACACGGUCCAGACUCCUACGGGAGGCAGCAGUGGGGAAUAUUGGACAAUGGGCGCAAGCCUGAUCCAGCCAUACCGCGUGGGUGAAGAAGGCCUUCGGGUUGUAAAGCCCUUUUGUUGGGAAAGAAAAGCAGCAGGUUAAUACCCCGCUGUUCUGACGGUACCCAAAGAAUAAGCACCGGCUAACUUCAUG
rnacentral:rRNA from 1 species